AUUCUCAGUUUGACUUUGCCACCUAACUUCCUGCUCAGCUACCAUCCUGUCAGCUUUUUGUUAACCAAUGAGAGUAAUACGUAUUCGUAGUGGAGAAAAGCACUGUUCCCCAGGAGUGAGAAGCUGGGAGAAGGGAAACCCAUGAGCUGGAGAAGUUUGGGGUAGGGGGCCGGUGAGAAGAACGAGAAUACCAGCAUGGACCCUGUGACAGACAGACUGCCAGAUCCUGACAGUGACCCAAAGUCUCCAAAGAAGACUAUGAGGCACCCCAGUUCCUACACCUGGAUAAUGAUGAUGCUGACCAGUGAGCGAGAUGCUCAGAUGUGAUACCUGCUGCCUGCCAGGACCUGGCCAAGACUGUGGACAAAGCUGCUGGACACUGGAAAAUUGAUUGUACCCCUUUUCCUAGACAAAACAAGACUGUGAGCCCUGGACUUGCUGUGGAUGUGAACCAGUUCAGCUGAUGUGGACACCCCCUGUCUCUGCAACAGAGUCUGCUAACCAGAAGCUCCUGAUGGAUUCCCCAUUGCCUAAAUUCCAUUUUUUGCUUUUGACUAGUAUUUCAGCCUUCUUGGGUCCCUAACUUCGUCCCAAAGUCAGCAGGAAGUAGCAUGGGAAAGAAUAUGUCGCCCAUUUUCCCUGGUUAAAAUGCUAAGUCAGAAGGAACUCCCUUGCAUGGGGAUGCCAAUAUCUUUCACUCCCUGAUGAGGACGCUGAAGAGACAACAAUUCCAUGAUUAAAAUUUCAAAAAAAAAUGGGGAAAUAAAGGGACCAGCUCCCCAUUUCGGCAGCCAUAACAGCCGAACACGCGCUUGUCUGACCUUGCCUUAGUAGUCACUAGGAGGUCAGAUGCCUGUCUCAUGGCAGGAACCAAUCAGAAGUUAGCUGGUGGUGCUAUGCUUUACAUAUCUGGUUGUGCUUUACGGACAAGUGCACAGCAAUGACUCGCAGAGCAUAUGGCCUAUGGGCCAUAACAACCAGUUGACCAAUCAACACAGGGCAAACCCUCCAAGCCUGGAAGCACACCAAUCCUGAGCCUGUGUGUACCCCUAGACACUCCCCUAACGCUGCCCUACAAGGUCUCUAUGCAGACACUUCGAGCUGUCUUUUCUACCCAUCCGCCAUGAUGGAUGGAUGGCAGGCCAGAGCUAACAUGGGGUUAGCUCAUUAAACAACUAUAAUAAAGCCUCG
rnacentral:lncRNA from 1 species